GACGAACGCUGGCGGCGUGCUUAAUACAUGCAAGUCAACGACUUUUAGAGUAGCAAUAUUCUAAAGGAAGUGGCGCACGGGUGAGUAACACGUAGGUAAUCUGCCUUCAGGACUGACACAACUCGUCGAAAGACGGGCUAAUAUCAGAUAAUGCAGCGGCUCCGCAUGGAGACAGUUGUUAAAGUACAAGCGCCUGAAGAUGAGCCUGCGGUCCAUUAGCUAGUUGGUAGAGUAACAGCCUACCAAGGCAACGAUGGAUAGCUGGUCUGAGAGGAUGAUCAGCCACACUGGAACUGAGACACGGUCCAGACUCCUACGGGAGGCAGCAGUAAGGAAUAUUGCUCAAUGGCCGAAAGGCUGAAGCAGCAACGCCGCGUGAAGGAUGAAUGGCCUUUGGCCUGUAAACUUCUGUAAAAAGGGAAACAACCAGGCAUGUCCUGAUUUGAUUGUACCUUUGAAGUAAGCCCCGGCUAACUACGUGCCAGC
rnacentral:rRNA from 1 species